rnacentral:rRNA from 1 species
GCACCUUCGGGUGUGAAUUAGCGGCGAACGGGUGAGGAACACGUGAGAAAUCUGCCUUCAACUCUGGGAUAACUCCGGGAAACCGGGGCUAAUACCGGAUAUGAGCCUUGAUCGCAUGAUCGGGGCUGGAAAGUUUUUCGGUUGAAGAUGAUCUCGCGGCCUAUCAGCUUGUUGGUGAGGUAAUGGCUCACCAAGGCGACGACGGGUAGCCGGCCUGAGAGGGCGACCGGCCACACUGGGACUGAGACACGGCCCAGACUCCUACGGGAGGCAGCAGUGGGGAAUAUUGGGCAAUGGAGGAAACUCUGACCCAGCGACGCCGCGUGAGGGAUGAAGGCCUUCGGGUUGUAAACCUCUUUCAGUAGGGAAGAAGCGAAAGUGACGGUACCUACAGAAGAAGCACCGGCUAACUAUGUGCCAGCAGCCGCGGUAAUACAUAGGGUGCAAGCGUUGUCCGGAAUUAUUGGGCGUAAAGAGCUCGUAGGUGGUUCGAUACGUCGGAUGUGAAAAUCAGGGGCUCAACCCCUGACCUGCAUUCGAUACGGUCGAGCUAGAGUGUGGUAGGGGAGACUGGAAUUCCUGGUGUAGCGGUGGAAUGCGCAGAUAUCAGGAGGAACACCGAUGGCGAAGGCAGGUCUCUGGGCCAUUACUGACACUGAGGAGCGAAAGCGUGGGGAGCGAACAGGAUUAGAUACCCUGGUAGUCCACGCCGUAAACGGUGGGCGCUAGUUGUGCGAACCUUCCACGGUUUGUGCGACCCAGCUAACGCAUUAAGCGCCCCGCCUGGGGAGUACGAUCGCAAGAU